UCUAUUACAGAUUUGUUGGAUCCAAACCACAGUUUAAAAUCACUCAUUCAUUAUCCAAGCUGCAUAUCAUCCUGGAUCAUGGAGCGUCUCAGCACUCAUUGGUGUGACCGAUCUCAUGAUCCCUCUUCCCAUCUCGUGAACAUGACCCCGAUGCCAAUCCCCAAACUAUGCUACCAGAUAUGGCGGUGCAGCGUAUGACUGGGCAUUGAUCCUUCAAGACCAAGAUGGCACCGUCUUUAUUGAUUGGACAUUGCUCCAUGUUGCAAAAGUUGGUGUUUCUCCACAUCAUUCACACUCACCACCAUAGUUGCACUCUAUCAUGAACAAGCACAUGUUGUCUAAUUUGCAGAAAAUGUUUACUGUUUUGUGAGGAGAUGGGUGCAUUUCCCCACUCCUAUGAUGCUAUUGUAAUGCUGAAAAGUGUUUUAUCUAUUAAAUAUGACAUAUUUCCAUUUGAA